ensembl:lncRNA
GAGGGAAGGCGGCGGCGGGGCGUCACGGGAGCCCGCGCUGCUAUAAAAGGGCCGGGCGCGGCGGAGCGGCGCAUCCCUCUCGCCCGCAGCCACAGCGGCAGGAGCAGCACCAGCAUCGCGGCGGGACAGCACCAGAUGGGCAUGGGGACGGCGCUGGCGGCGCGGCUCGGCCUGGGGCUCCUGCUCCUUGCCCUCCUCCUCCCCACGCAGAUCUACUGUGGAACAACUACCAAUGGAACAAGUCCAACACCUUCAAACAGUUCUUCAACAAGUUCCACUUCUCUGUCAGCUGUCACAAAUUCACUGAACAGUACCACCACUCACGGACAUGGAAAUUCUCUUCACUCAACCACAAGUCUUUUUUUCAUUCUCUCAGUUUCUCUUACGUAUUUUUGCUGUUAAGAGACUCUGGCAUGGAAAUGGCUACCACUCCCCACCCCGUUUCCUGAACCGCCUGAGAUGGCCAGAUCUCCAACCCAGCAUGAGAAGAAAUCAAUCCAAACUCCACAUCAAACCAGCCUGGUUCCACUCCAUACUCAAAUUAUUACCAGUCUGACCUAGAGAAACACUCAGUAUUCUGACUUUCAAAGCUGACCAGUGUGAAAAGAUCUGCUUCAGCAAGGAGGUAAAAUUAUGAGCUCUUUCACCAAAUGAGUUGGAAUCUGAAAAACAAGAUGGAAACAAAAAGAGACAGUACUGACAAACCAAAUUUAAAGCUGAGAAGAAAUAGAGUAUCUUAUAAUAAGGAUGGAUAAUAACGCUCCAUGAAGAAAAAAGGCUAGAGUGUUUAUCUACCAUUUAGAAUAAGGACUUCAAUAUUUUUUAUUUUUUUAAGUUCAAAAACAUCAACAGGCUCACAGAAUCCCUAGAAAACAGAGAAAAGCUCAAAUAAUACUGUUUCUUGCACAGCCUGUAUGGUUAUAACUUAAGAGUAUUAGGAUGUGUGAAAAAGAAACAACACCAGUGAAAAGGGUUUCUUCCAGAUUUCUUUUAUAUUAAAUUGUUACAAGGCUAAAAUAGAAUAACAAAUUUUUGCAAGAAUCCCCUUAUUUGUCCCCUAAUUCCUAACUAAAUGGUUAGCCAGGAGGGCUAGUUUUGAAUUAGCUAAAACCCCACCAGUUUUCAUAAGAGUGGAAUUAUUUAUGGUGGGAAUUUGAAUUUGACAUUUUAUUUAAAUUGUUUGCAUAUUAAACCAUAUGUGCCAGAGAAAGGAGGUGUGGAAACACUAGAAAAAGUACCAGGAGCUUUUUGUAAAUGAAAUUCAGAAAGAAAAAACAAAAAAGUCAAUGGAUAUAUGUCUCCUAUUUCCUUUAUUUCUCCUCCCAAGUUGUAUAAGAUUUUUGCUCCUGGAACUUUCCUUAAUUAUGAAAAUUAUGAAGGAUUUAUGAAAUCUUAUGAGUAAUGUUAUAGUCUUGCUUUUUUUUUUUUUUUUUUUUUUUUUUUUUUUUUUUUUUUUUUUUUUUUUUUUUUUUUUUUUUUUUUUUUUUUUUGGCACAAGGUGAAUAACCUACUGGUUUUUCAAGAGUUUUAAUUGUGAGUCUACUUUAAACCUGGGCUAAUAUUUGUGAUGGGGAGAAGGAAUGGGGAAAGGAGAGCAAACCGCCAAAAAAAAAAGAAAUUAAAUGAACAGGUGUUUAGAAUAUGAAGACUGGAGUCUUAAUUUAAUCACUGAAUUUAAAAAUUACCUUUGUAAAUACUACUUUUUAAAAUUUUUUUUCUGAAUCAAAAUUGCUACACUUGCACAGAUUGUUUCUGUAUCAUCCAACAUAUUAGAAAAUAUUAUCUGGUAUUUGAUCUUAGCAAGCUUUGUUGAGGAGGUUCACCUACCUUGAUGAUGAUAUCUUGUCAGAAAAAAAUUAACUAUGUUGAUAUGAUCAAAUGUGAAUGUACACGAUCAUACCACUGUCUGUAGAUAUUUAUCUCAGUAUAAGAUCAUGUCAAACAUGAGUGGCUCUCUAAUUUUUUUAAAUACACAUCUGUCUUUCAGUUAUAUUAUCACCGAUUCACAGUAUCAUAUAUUAGUAGCAAGCUAACACAAAUUCAUGUCAGUGAGCAUACAUGGACAUUUCCUUACGCUUAUCAUUUGUAUCCAGUUAAGUGUUAAUGAUUGUAUUUUGUGUUUGUGUAAUAAUGGUUUGAUUUAUUAGCUACUGAUUUUCAUUGAAAAAACCUGUAAAUAAAACAGUGGACAGGCAAUGCA